GACGAACGCUGGCGGCGUGCCUAAUACAUGCAAGUAGAACGCACAGUUUAUACCGUAGCUUGCUACACCAUAGACUGUGAGUUGCGAACGGGUGAGUAACGCGUAGGUAACCUGCCUGGUAGCGGGGGAUAACUAUUGGAAACGAUAGCUAAUACCGCAUAAUAUUAAUUAUUGCAUGAUAAUUAAUUGAAAGGUGCAAUUGCACCACUACCAGAUGGACCUGCGUUGUAUUAGCUAGUAGGUGAGGUAACGGCUCACCUAGGCGACGAUACAUAGCCGACCUGAGAGGGUGAUCGGCCAAACUGGGACUGAGACACGGCCCAGACUCCUACGGGAGGCAGCAGUAGGGAAUCUUCGGAAAUGGACGAAAGUCUGACCGAGCAACGCCGCGUGAGUGAAGAAGGGUUUCGGAUCGUAAAGCUCUGUUGUAAGAGAAGAACGGGUGUGAGAGUGGAAAGUUCACACUGUGACGGUAUCUUACCAGAAAGGGACGGCUAACUACGUG
rnacentral:rRNA from 1 species